AGUGCGCAGGCGCCGGCCGUGAGGACCGACAGUGCGCCGGGCUCGAGCUGGUCGGAGCGGCGGCAGCUGCGAGGACCCGCGGGCUGACUGACUGAUGGGCGGACAGGCCAUGUCGUCCUGCACCUGCUGAACUGUAGCGCCCAAGGAUGUCUGCGUUGAGGAAGGCCUUCCCACCACCUGAGGCUCGGCCAUAGCUCUGCCCGGUUUCCCAGCAGCUGCCAGUGAAUGCCCUCGGCCCGUGCUCAGCUCCGCCACCAUGGGGACUGCUCAGGUUUUACCUGGCAUUCUGCAGAAGCAUUGCUGUAUCUUACCGGACAGGAACACAGGU
rnacentral:lncRNA from 1 species